rnacentral:rRNA from 1 species
UACGUAGGAUGCGAGCGUUAUCCGGAAUUACUGGGUGUAAAGGGAGCGCAGGCGGGAUUGCAAGUUGGAUGUGAAAUGCCGCAGCUUAACUGCGGAGCUGCAUCCAAAACUGUAGUUCUUGAGUGGAGUAGAGGCAAGCGGAAUUCCGAGUGUAGCGGUGAAAUGCGUAGAUAUUCGGAGGAACACCAGUGGCGAAGGCGGCUUGCUGGGCUCUAACUGACGCUGAGGCUCGAAAGUGUGGGGAGCAAACAGG